GACGAACGCUGGCGGCGUGCUUAACACAUGCAAGUCGAACGGAAAGGCCCUGCUUGCAGGGUACUCGAGUGGCGAACGGGUGAGUAACACGUGGGUGAUCUGCCCUGCACUUCGGGAUAAGCCUGGGAAACUGGGUCUAAUACCGGAUAGGAGCCAUUUUUAGUGUGAUGGUUGGAAAGUUUUUUCGGUGUAGGAUGAGCUCGCGGCCUAUCAGCUUGUUGGUGGGGUAAUGGCCUACCAAGGCGGCGACGGGUAGCCGGCCUGAGAGGGUGGACGGCCACAUUGGGACUGAGAUGCGGCCCAGACUCCUACGGGAGGCAGCAGUGGGGAAUAUUGCACAAUGGGCGCAAGCCUGAUGCAGCGACGCCGCGUGGGGGAUGACGGCCUUCGGGUUGUAAACUCCUUUCGCUAGGGACGAAGCUUUUUGUGACGGUACCUAGAGAAGAAGCACCGGCUAACUACGUG
rnacentral:rRNA from 1 species